CUGUCUCCUUUUUCUAUCAGUGAAACUAAUCUCCCCGUGAAGAAGCGGGGAUACUACUAUAAGACGAGAAGACCCCAUGGAGCUUUAAACCCAACUACACCCCUAUUUACAACAACUACUUAACCAAUUGGACACUGUAUGCUUGGUUUUAGGUUGGGGCGACCACGGAGUAAAAAAUAACCUCCACGAUAAAUGGGCUUACCCCCUUAUCUAAGAGCCACACCUCUAAGAAUUAAAAUAUUAAUAUAAUAUGAUCCUUUCUUGAUCAACGGACCAAGUUACCCUGGGGAUAACAGCGCAAUCCAUUUCAAGAGCCCCUAUCGACAAAUGGG
rnacentral:rRNA from 1 species